GCCUGACUAGCUUAGUUGGUAAAGCAUGAAACUCUUGAUCUCAGGGUUGUAGGUUUGAGCUCCAUGUUGGGUG
rnacentral:tRNA from 1 species